rnacentral:rRNA from 1 species
GAACGCUAGCGACAGGCCUAACACAUAGCAAGUCGAGGGGCAGCGCGGGAGAAGCUUGCUUUCCUGGCGGCGACCGGCGCACGGGUGCGUAACAGGUGUGCAAUCUGUCCAUAGUCGGGGGAUAGCCCAGCGAAAAGCUGAAUUAACACUCCAUGUGAAUCGAAGCCGCAUGACUUUGAUUUGAAACGUAAGGACUAUGGGUGAGCACGCUUCUGAUUAGGUAGUUGGUGGGGUAACGGCCCACCAAGCCGACGAUCAGUAGGGGUUCUGAGAGGAAGGUCCCCCCACAUUGGAACUGAGACACGGUCCAAACUCCUACGGGAGGCAGCAGUGAGGAAUAUUGGUCAAUGGGCGAGAGCCUGAACCAGCCAAGUCGCGUAGAAGGAUGAAGGUUCUAUGGAUUGUAAACUUCUUUUGUCCGAGGGUAAAAAAGGUCACGUGUGACUUCUUGCAAGUAUCGGACGAAUAAGCAUCGGCUAACUCCGUGCCAGCCGCCGC